rnacentral:lncRNA from 1 species
AGAUAGGGAAGGACAUAGAAUGGGUAGUAGGGGAGGGACAUGGUGAGGACGAUGGUGCUCAGUCCCCCUUGGGUGGCUGUAUUCCUUUGUGGGCUUCCUCUUGUAAGUUUCCCCAGGAAGCAAAAGUAAGUUUUCCCCACCAAGCAAAAUCCCGGGGGCACUGUUCCCAGCUAGGGUGGCAAGUGAGUCCAUGCUGCGGGGCAGACUGUAGUGGAGACUGUGCUCUUGCUGGCUGCCCCUUCAGGAUGGAGGCCCCCAUCCAUCCCUUCAUCCCCCAACUGCUUCCCUGCUGACAGCUUCUAGCUGAGACCCUCCCCAGAAAGUGCCCUCAGCUGCGUGGAGGUGCCAUCAUGCCAGUAGUCAUACCUGCUCUUUUCCAGGGUUGUCUAUACUCAGUGACUGAUCCAUGUGAAGUUCAAAGGCCCAAGCUCCCUUGUCUCAAGCUGGGACAAUUCUGAGUGGCAGCUGGGAUGGUCCCCAAGGUUCUGAGCCCAGGACUCUUGUCUCCAUCCAUUCCCUAAUCCUGAAUCUGCACCCAGAUCCAGCCUGGGUCAAGGUUGGAAUCCCUCAUGGCUCCUGCUCCCAGAACUUGGCCCCAUUUCCUCCACCCAGCCCAGGGAGUGGUGCCAGGUUCAGAGGAAAGCGACUUGUUCAGCUGGCCUGUGUCUGC